rnacentral:rRNA from 1 species
UAACGUAGCGAAAGUUACGCUAAUACCGCAUAUCUGUGAGCAGGAAAGCAGGGGAUCGCAAGACCUUGCGCUCUGGGAGCGGCCGAUGUCGGAUUAGCUAGUUGGUGGGGUAAAGGCCUACCAAGGCGACGAUCCGUAGCGGGUCUGAGAGGAUGAUCCGCCACACUGGGACUGAGACACGGCCCAGACUCCUACGGGAGGCAGCAGUGGGGAAUUUUGGACAAUGGGCGGAAGCCUGAUCCAGCCAUGCCGCGUGAGUGAAGAAGGCCUUCGGGUUGUAAAGCUCUUUCGGCCGGGAAGAAAUCGCAUGGGUCAAUACCCUGUGUGGAUGACGGUACCGGAAUAAGAAGCACCGGCUAACUACGUGCCAGCAGCCGCGGUAAUACGUAGGGUGCGAGCGUUAAUCGGAAUUACUGGGC